rnacentral:rRNA from 1 species
UCACGAAAGUAGUUGAGCUAAUAAACUAAUUUUAUUAGUAUAAAUAUAUACUGUAGCAGUAGUAUAAUAAUAUAGUUUAUUAGGGGUGAUAUGCCUAUCAAAUUUACUAAUAUCUUGAUUUAUAAGAAAAGUAUUAAGUACUAUUGAGACAUUCUUAAAGUGGUUAGGCUUUAAGUUAAUACAAAUGUUCUUUAAUUAUUUCUAUAUAAUUUAAUCAUUAAUAGAAUAACAGCAAAUUAUUAUUAAUAAUAAAGUAUUGUUAAAUGUACUAUAAUAUAUUAAUUAAUAAUAUUAAUAUAAAUAAUGUAUAUAUAAGUAAUGAUUUAAAUCUGUAAAAGGAACUCGGCAAAAAGAUUAUUCAACUGUUUAACAAAAACAUAAUUAUUUGAUAUUAUAAAUAACUUUUUCUGCUCAAUGGUUUAACUAAAUAGCCGCAGUACCCUGACUGUGCAAAGGUAGCAUAAUCAAUUGGCUUAUAAUUGAAGUCUAGAAUGAAUGAAAAUAUGGAUAAUAUCUGUCUUUUUCAUAUAGAAUUGAAAUUACUAAGUAAGUGAAAAUUCUUACAUAUAAAUAAUAGACGAGAAGACCCUAGAAAUUUUUUAUAUUCUAUUAUACUUACACGUAUUUUGUUGGGGCGACAGAAUAACAUAUAACUUAUUUUAAAAAAUUUACCAUUUAUUUAAUUUUAAAAUAAAUUACUCUAGGGAUAACAGCAUAAUUCUUUAUGGGUUUGUGACCUCGAUGUUGGAUUAGGAACUGGUAUACUCAAAAGGUACCGGAGUCCAGA